rnacentral:tRNA from 1 species
GUUGUGGCUCAGUGGUAGAGCGCUCGCCUAGCACGUGCGAGACUCUGGGUUCGAUCCUCAGUCCCACA